CAUAUACAGCCACGCCCAUGGGGUGGUCUCAGCCUCAAAACACGCCCUAGGUGCGCGGAUUCUGUCCUAGAGCUCAAUCCGUUGCAGUGGGCGGGAACUCCUCCCACCCCAGAGGUUCCGCCAAUUCCUGGAAUGUCCCAUCUCUUCCGGACUCAGAGUGGUGGUGGUGGUAGCUCCCGCCACUGCUGGGGCGGCCCCAGUUCUCCGAGGCCAGCGGGGCUCAACGAGGGGUGGGGCGGUCACAGGCCGGGGCGGAGCUCUAAGGGCAGCGGGUAGGGUCGUUUUGACACCGUCUCCUGCCCCAUGGAGGUAGCUCCGAAGGCCGGUGGACCUCGGAGACCUAGGUAGGGGCUCCCGACGUUUUCAUCCCGAGAGUCCGGGACCCCCGAUGGUCCCGCCGCCAGACUCCUCUGCCGACGCCGGUCUGGGGUCCCACUGCCAUGGUGGGCGAGUUGCACCCCCUCCCAGUGCCUCAGUUUCCCUAUUUAUUUUAUUUUUGGCUGUGUUGUGUUUUCAUUGUUGCACGUGGGCUUUCUGUAGUUGCGGUGAGCGGGGGCUACUCUUCCUUGUGGUGCGCGGGCUUCUCAUUGCCGUGGCCUCUCUUUGUCGUGGAGCACAGGCUCUAGGCGCGUGGGCUUCAGUAGUUGUGGCACGCAGGUUCAGUAGUUGUGGCUCGCGGGCUCUAGAACGCAGGCUCAGUAGUUGUGGCGCACGGCCUUAGUUGCUCCAUGGCAUGUGGGAUCUUCCCGGACCAGGGCUCGAACUCGUGUCCCCUGCAUUGGCAGGCGGAUUCUUAACUACUAUGCCACCAGGGAAGCCCAAGCCUGGCUCUCUUUAAGCCUUCCUCAAUAUCACCAAACCUAGUUUCUUUCUUUCUUUCUCUUUUUUUUUUUUUUGCCCCCACCUCCGCUUGCGUGAUCUUAGUUCCCCAACCAGGGAUGGAACCUGUGCUCCCAGCAGUGAAAGCACCAAGUCCUAACCACUGGCCGCCAGGGAAUUCCCUCAGUAUCACCGCACCUAAGCCAAAUCACUACUGGAGGACUCAGCUUACAACCAAGGAGUCAACUUCUAAACAGGAUAUUUUUGGAGAAAAGACAUUUGAGGGCAUAAAAAUGAACCAGAGACUCUGCGUCUGUGAUCACGGCCGGGCUCGUGCUGGGGAAGGCCCUAUGGGGCGGAAGAGCCUCCAGGAGGAGCCCAGAUGUGACGUGGCACAAGCGCCGGCAGGAAACUUGGGAAGUCCGUCAUCCUUCCGGAAGCGCGUGAGAACCCACCAGGGGGAGGCCCUGCAAGGAUGCCCAGUGCUCAGAGCCUUCAGCCCACACAAAACAUAUUAAUAGUUCUACAGUGAAAUGUAGAAAGAGUCAUCCUAAGUGGAAUAAAUAACACUACAAAGUGCUGUACAAAAGUUGAGGUCAGAUUUUCCCAAAAAUUAAUGCAGAAAUGAUCUUACAUUCCUGCAAAAUGAGUUGCCAAAAUUACACAUUCAAAGACUUGUGGAUUUUGGAAUUGCAGAUAAGGGUUGGGGGAGCUCUAUAAAAUUUCUAAACCUGUAUGCACCUAAUAACUUGGCCUCAAAAUACUGUAAGAAAAAAAAAAAAAAUUAAAGGAGAAACUGCAAAAUUCACAGUCAAAAUGGGAGAUUUAGGCACAACUCUCUGAGUAAGAGUAAGUUCCAGCAGUUAAAAAUGAGUUUCCACAGUUGUUUUUCAGGUUUUCUCAUAGCUUGAUCUAAUGAACUUACAUAAAACUAUUAAACCAACAAUUAGAAAAUACACAAUCGUAACAAACCCACAUGGAGAGUUUAUGUUAAAGUAACAACAUAUUGGACGCAUCAGGGAUUGCAAGCAUCCUUAAAACAAUGGCUUCAAGAGGGAUCUAUAGGGACUUCCCUUGUGGUCCAGUGGGUAAGACACCGGGCUCCCAAUGCAUGGGGCCCGGGUUUGAUCCCUGGUCGGAGAGCUAGAUCCCACAUGCAUGCUGCAACUAAGAGUUCACAUGCCACGAUGAAGAAGUCCACAUGCUGCAGCUAAGAGUACACAUGUUGCAACGAAGAUCCCACGUGCUGCAAUGAAGACCUGGCUCAGCCAAAAUAGAUAAAUAAAUAAUUUUUUUGUUUUUAAAGAGAAAUCUAUGUAGUGACAAACAGCAGUGUGGGGACUUCCCUGGUGGCACAGUGGUUAAGAAUCCACCUGCCAAUGCAGGGGACACGGGUUCGAGCCCUGGUCUGGGAAGAUCCCACAUGCCACAGAGCAGCUAAGCCCGUGCGCCACAACUACUGAGCCUGCGCUCUAGAGCCCACGAGCCACAACUACUAAAGCCCACAUGCCUAAAGCCCAAGCUCCACAACAAGAGAAACCACUGCAAUGAGAAGCCCACACAGCACAACAAAGAGUAGCCCCCACUCACUGCAACUAGAGAAAGGCCGCGUGCAACAACGAAGACCCAACGCAACCAAAUAAAUAAAUAAAACAAACAAACAAAAAACAGCAGUGUGACCUGAUUUUGGUGGCAGGUGCAAGAACCUACACACAUGGUAAAAUGGCACAGGACUCCACACACGUAAACACACACACACACACACACACACACACACACACACACACACACACACAUACAAAUGUGUGCACGUGAAACUGGCGAAAUCUGAAUAAGGCCUUUGUAUUGUACCAAAGCCAAUCUCCUGGUUUUGACACCACACUGCAGUUACAUAAGAUGUUACCGCUGGGGGAAGCUGGGGAAAAUGCACACGAGAGGUCUUUAUACUAUUACUGCAUCUUCCAUUGACAGAUGAACAGAUAAAAAUGUGGUACACAUAUACAAUGGAAUACUACUCGACCAUAAAAAAGAAUGAAAUAAUGCCAUUUGCAGCAACAUGGAUGGACCUAGAGAUUCUCAUACUAAGUGAAGUAAGUCUGAAAGAGAAAGACAAAUACCCAAUGAUGUCACUCAUAUGUUGAAUCUAAAACAGGACACAGAUGUACUUACCUACGAACCAGAAACAGACUCGCAGACAUAGAGAACAGACCUGUGGUUGCCAAGGGGGAGAGGGGAUGGGGAAGGGCUGGACUAGGAGUUUGGGAUUAGCAGAUGCAGACUAUAAUACAUAGAAUGGAUAAACAACAGGUCUUACUGUACAGCACAGGGAACUAUUUUCAAUGUACAGCAGUAACAAUGUCCUGUGAUAAACCAUAAUAGAAAAGAAUAGGAAAAAGAAUGUAUAUAUACAUUCCUUAACAUGGGAAAGGAAAUAGUUACUCAAGUCCAGGAAGCACAGAGUCCCAUACAGGAUAAACCCUAGGAAAAACACAUCAUGGCACAUAUUAAUCAAACUAACAAAAAUUAAAUUCAAGGAAAACUUAUCAAAAGCAGUGAGGGAAAAACAAAAAAUAACAUACAAAGGAAUCCCCAUAAUGUUGUCAACUGAUUUUUCAGCAGAAACUCUGCAGGCCAGAAGGGAGUGGCAGGAUAUACUUAAAGUGAUGAAAGAGAAAAACCUACAACCAAGAUUACUCUACCAGCAAGGAUCUCAUUCAAAUUCGAUGGAGAAAUCAAAAGCUUUUCAGACAAGCAAAAGCUAAGAGAACUCAGCACCACCAAACCAGCUUUACAAGAAAUGCUGAAGAAACUUCUCUAGGCAGGAAACACAAGAGAAGAAAAAGACCCACAAAAACAUACGCAAAGGGAUUUCCCUGGUGGCACAGUGGUUAAGAAUCUGCCUGCCAAUGCAGGGGACACAGGUUUGAGCCCUGGUCCGGGAAGAUCCCACAUGCCAUGGAGCAGCUAGGCCCGUGUGCCAUAACUACUGUGCCUGUGCGCAACAACGACUGAAGUCCGCAUGCCUAGAGCCCGUGCUCUGCAACAAGAGAAGCCACUGCAAUGAGAAGCCCAUGCACCACACAAAGAAGUUGCUGCAACUAGGGAAAGCCCGUGCACAACAAAAAAGACCCAGUGCAGCCAAAGAUACAUAAAUUAAAUAAAUAAAUUAAACAAACCCCAAACAAUUAAGAAAAUGGUAAUAGAGACAGGCAUAUCGAUAAUAACCUUGAAUGUAAAUGGAUUAAAUGCCCCAAACAAAAAACACAGACUGGCUGAAUGGAUACAGAACAAGACUCAUAUAUAUGCUGUCUACAAGAGACCCACUUCAGACCUAGGGACACAUACAGACUGAAAGUGAAGGGAUGGAAAAAGAUAUUCCAUGCAAAUGGAAAUCAAAAGAAAGCUAGAGUAGCAAUAGUCGUAUCAGAUAAAGUAGACUUUAAAAUAAAGACUGUUAACAAGAGAUAAGAAGGGACACUACAUAAUUAUCAAAGGAUCAAUCCAAGAAGAAGAUAUAAGAACUAUAAAUGUUUAUGCACCCAGUAUAGGAGCUCCUCAAUACAUAAGGCAAAUGCUAACAACCAUGAAAGGAGAAAUCGACAGUAACACAUUAAUAGUAGGGGACUUUAACACCCCACUUACACAAAUGGACAGAUCAUCCAAACAGAAAAUAAACAAGGAAACACAAGCUUUAAAUGACACAAUAGACCAGAUAGGUCUAAUUGAUAUUUAUAGAACAUUCCACCCAAAAGUGGCAGAAUACACUUUCUUCUCAAGGGCACACAGAACAUUCUCCAGGAUAGAUCACAUCUUGGGUCACAAAUCAAGCCUCGGAAAAUUUAAGAAAAUUGAAAUCAUAUCAAGCAUCUUUUCUGACCACAACACUAUGGGAUUGGAAAUCAAUUACAGGAAAAAAUACUGUAAAAAUCACAAAUACAUGGGGGCUAAACAGUGUGCUACUAAAUAACCAAGAGGUCACUGAAGAAAUCAAAGAAAAAAUAAAAAAAUACAUAGAAACAAAUGACAGUGAAAACUUGACGACCCAAAACCUAUGGGAUGCAGCAAAAGGAGUUCUAAGAGGGAAGUUUAUAGCAAUUCAAUCUCACCUCAAGAAACAAGAAAAAUCUCAAAUAAACAGUCUAACCCUACACUUAAAACAACUAGAGAAAGAAGAACAAAGAAAAUCCAAAGUCAGUAGAAGGAAAGCAAUCAUAAAGAUCAGAGCAGAAAUAAAUGAAAUAGAAAUGAAGAAAACAAUAGCAAAGAUCAAUAAAACUAAAAGCUGGUUCUUUGAGAAAAACAAAAUUGAUAAACCCUUAGCUAGACUCAUCAAGAAAAAAAGGGAGAGGAUGCAAAUCAGUAAAAUCAGAAAUGAAAAAGAAGAAAUCACAACUGACACUGCAGAAAUACAAAGGGUUAUAAGAGACUAUUACAAACAACUAUAUACCAAUAAAAUGGACAACCACGAAGAAAUGGACAAAUUCUUGGAAAGGUACAAUUUUCCAAGACUGAACCAGGAAGAAUUAGAAAAUAUAAACAGACCUAUCACAAGUAAUGAAAUUGAAACCGUAACUACAAAUCUUCCAACAAACAAAAGUCCAGGACCAGAUGGCUUCACAGGCAAAUUCUAUCAAACAUUUAGAGAGGAGCUAACACCGAUCCUUCUCAAACUCUUCCAAAAACUUGCAGAGGGAGAAACACUCUCAAAUUCAUUCUAUGAAGCCACCAUCACCCUGAUACCAAAACCAAAAAAAGAUACCACAAAAAAAGAAAAUUAUAGACCAGUAUCACUGAUGAACAUAGAUGCAAAAAUGCUGAACAAAAUACUAGCAAACAGAAUCCAACAGCACAUCAAAAGGAUCAUACACCAUGAUCAACUGGGGUUUAUCCCAGGGAUGCAAGGAUUCUUGAAUAUACGCAAAUCAAUGUGAUACAUCACGUUAACAAGGAAUAAAAACCAUAUGAUCAUUUCAAUAGAUGCAGAAAAAGCUUUUGACAAAAUUCAACACCCAUUUAUGAUAAUAACUCUCCAGAAAAUGGGCAUAGAGGGAACCUACCUCAACAUAAUAAAGGCCAUAUAUGAUAAACCCACAGCAAGCAUCAUACUCAAUGGUGAGAGACUGAAAGCAUUUCCACUAAGAUCAGGAACAAGACAAGGAUGUCCACUCUCGCCACUCUUAUUCAACAUAGUUUUGGAAGUCCUAGCCACAACAAUCGGAGAAGAAAAAGAAAUAAAAGGAAUACAAAUUGGAAAAGAAGAAGUAAAACUGUCACUGUUUGCUGAUGACAUGAUAGUGUACAUAGAAAAUCAUAAAGGUGCCACCAGAACUCCAAUAAAGAUGUAAAAAAAAAAAAGAUGCCACCAGAAAACUACUAGAACUAAUCAAUGAAUUUGGUAAGGUUGCAGGAUACAAAAUUAAUGCACGGAAAUCUCUGGCAUUCCUAUACACCAACAAUGAAAAAUCAGAAAGAGAAAUUAAGGAAACACUCCCAUUUACCAUCGCAAGGAAAAGAAUAAAAUACCUAGGAAUAAACCUGCCUAAGGAGGUGAAAGACUCAUACUCAGAAAACUAUAAUAUACUAAUGAAGGAAAUCAAAGAUGACAUAAACAAAUGGAGUAAUAUACCAUGUUCUUGGAUUGGAAGAAUCAAUAUUGUGAAAAUGACUAUAGUACCCAAAACAAUCUACAGGUUCAAUGCAAUCCCUAUCAAACUACCAAUGGCAUUCUUCACAGAAUUAGAACAAAAAUCUUACAAUUCGUAUGGAAACACAAAAGACCCUGAAUAGCCAAAGCAAUCUUGAGAAAGAAAAACAGAGUUGGAGGAAUCAGGCUCCUCAACUUCAAACUAUACCACAAAGCUACAGUAAUUAAGACAGUAUGGUACUGGCACAAAAACAAAUAUAGAUCAAUGGUACAGGAUAGAAUGCCAGAGAUAAACCCACGGUCAUAUGGGCACCUAAUUUAUGACAAAGGAGUCAAGAACAUACAAUGGAGAAAAGACAGCCUCUUCAAUAAGUGGUGCUGGGGAAACUGGACGGCUACAUGUAAAAGAAUGAAAUUAGAACACUGCCUAACACCAUACACAAAAAUAAACUCCAAAUGGAUUAAAGACUUAAAUGUAAGACCAAACACUAUAAAACUCUUGGAGGAAUACAUAGGAAAAACGCUCUUUGACAUAAACCACAGCAAUAUCUUUUUUGACUCACCUCCUAGAGUAAUAGAAAUAAAAACAAAAAUAAACAAAUGGGACUUGAAACCUUUUGCACAGCAAAGGAAACCAUAAACAAGACAAAAAGACAACCCUCAGAAUGGGAGAAAAUAUUUGCAAAUGAAACAACAAAGGAUUAAUUUCCAAAAUAUACAAACAGCUUAUGGAGCUCAAUAUCAAAAAAACAAACAAUCCAGUUAAAAAAUGGGUGGAAGACCUAAAUAGACAUUUCACCAAGGAAGACAUACAGAUGGCCAAGAGGCACAUGAAAAGAUGCUCAACAUCACUUAUUACUAGAGAAAUGCAAAUCAAAACUAUGAUGAGGUAUCACCUCACACUGGUCAGAAUGGCCAUUAUCCAAAAAUCUCGAAAUAGUAAAUGCUGGAAAGGGUAUGGUGAGAAGGGAACCCUCUUGCACUGUUGGUGGGAAUGUAAAUUGAUACAGCCACUAUGGAGAACAGUAUGGAGGUUCCUUAAAAAACUAAAAAUAGAACUACCAUGUGACCCAGCAAUCCCACUACUGGGUAUAUACCCUGAGAAAAUCAUAAUUCAGAAAGAGACAUGUACCACAAUGUUCAUUGCAGCUCUAUUUACAAUAGCCAGGACAUGGAACCAACCUAAAUGUCCGUCGACAGAUGCAUGGAUAAAGAAGAUGUGGCACAUAUAUACAACGGAAUAUUACUUAGCCAUAAAAAGAAAUGAAAUUUAGUCAUUUGUAGUGAGGUGGAUGGACCUAGAGUCUGUCAUACAGAGUGAAGUAAGUCAGAAAGAGAAAAACAAAUACCGUAUGCUAACGCAUAUAUGUGGAAUCUAGGGAAAAAAAAAUUGGUACUGAAGUACCUAGUGGCACGGCAGGAAUAAAGAGGUAGACAUAGAGA